GAUGAACGCUGGCGGCGUGCCUAAUACAUGCAAGUCGAGCGAACAGAUGAGGAGCUUGCUCCUCUGACGUUAGCGGCGGACGGGUGAGUAACACGUGGAUAACCUACCUAUAAGACUGGGAUAACUUCGGGAAACCGGAGCUAAUACCGGAUAAUAUAUUGAACCGCAUGGUUCAAUAGUGAAAGACGGUUUUGCUGUCACUUAUAGAUGGAUCCGCUCCGCAUUAGCUAGUUGGUAAGGUAACGGCUUACCAAGGCAACGAUGCGUAGCCGACCUGAGAGGGUGAUCGGCCAAACGGGAACUGGGACACGGUCCAGACUCCUACGGGAGGCAGCAGUAGGGAAUCUUCCGCAAUGGGCGAAAGCCUGACGGAGCAACGCCGCGUGAGUGAUGAAGGUCUUCGGAUCGUAAAACUCUGUUAUUAGGGAAGAACAAAUGUGUAAGUAACUAUGCACGUCGUGACGGUACCUAAUCAGAAAGCCACGGCUAACUACGUG
rnacentral:rRNA from 1 species